rnacentral:tRNA from 1 species
AGGGACAUAGCUCAAUUGGUAGAGCCCCAAGAUUUGGCCUUGGAGGUUUCAGGUUCGAGACCUGAUGUCCCUG